UUUAAGUAGGAUAGCUCAGUUGGUAAAGCAUGAGACUCUUAAUCUCAGAACGUGGGUUCAAGACCCACAUUGGCAAAA